UGGGGAAUUUUGGACAAUGGGCGAAAGCCUGAUCCAGCAAUGCCGCGUGUGUGAAGAAGGCCUUCGGGUUGUAAAGCACUUUUGUCCGGAAAGAAAUCCUUGGCUCUAAUACAGUCGGGGGAUGACGGUACCGGAAGAAUAAGCACCGGCUAACUACGUGCCAGCAGCCGCGGUAAUACGUAGGGUGCAAGCGUUAAUCGGAAUUACUGGGCGUAAAGCGUGCGCAGGCGGUUUGCUAAGACCGAUGUGAAAUCCCCGGGCUCAACCUGGGAACUGCAUGCGGUGACUGGCAGGCUAGAGUAUGGCAGAGGGGGGUAGAAUUCCACGUGUAGCAGUGAAAUGCGUAGAGAUGUGGAGGAAUACCGAUGGCGAAGGCAGCCCCCUGGGCCAAUACUGACGCUCAUGCACGAAAGCGUGGGGAGCAAACAGGAUUAGAUACCCUGGUAGUCCACGCCCUAAACGAUGUCAACUAGUUGUUGGGGAUUCAUUUCCUUAGUAACGUAGCUAACGCGUGAAGUUGACCGCCUGGGGAGUACGGUCGCAAGAUUAAAACUCAAAGGAAUUGACGGGGUCAUAGCUGUUUCCU
rnacentral:rRNA from 1 species